rnacentral:tRNA from 1 species
GCUCCAGUAGCACAGUGGUUAGGGCACCAGCCUCAUAUACUGAGGGUGGUGGGUUCAAAUCCAGCCUGGGCCA